UCUAGGAUAAUCGUUUUCCGUUCGUUCGGUUUCUCAACUUUUACUCGUGCGUUAUUUUACAAGGAAUCGCAAACGCAACCACUGUGAACAGGUACGAAGAGAAGAUUGGACAUAGGAUGGGCCUUAGUUAACAAGAAACGGAUUAGUGUAGUUUAUUUAUG